UACGUAGGGUGCAAGCGUUGUCCGGAAUUAUUGGGCGUAAAGAGCUCGUAGGCGGUCUGUCGCGUCUGCUGUGAAAUCCCGGGGCUCAACCCCGGGCUUGCAGUGGAUACGGGCAGACUAGAGUUCGGUAGGGGAGACUGGAAUUCCUGGUGUAGCGGUGAAAUGCGCAGAUAUCAGGAAGAACACCCGUGGCGAAGGCGGCUUUCUGGGACGGUACUGACGCUGAGACGCGAAAGCGAGGGGAGCGAACAGG
rnacentral:rRNA from 1 species